CGAGUGGUCGGGACGUUUAUUGGGCCUAAAGCAUCCGUAGCCGGUUCUACAAGUCUUCCGUUAAAUCCACCUGCUUAACAGAUGGGCUGCGGAAGAUACUAUGGAGCUAGGAGGCGGGAGAGGCAAGCGGUACUCGAUGGGUAGGGGUAAAAUCCGUUGAUCCAUUGAAGACCACCAGUGGCGAAGGCGGCUUGCCAGAACGCGCUCGACGGUGAGGGAUGAAAGCUGGGGGAGCAAACCGG
rnacentral:rRNA from 1 species